CUAAUAGGGUUAGCCGCAGAGCUUCUCCAUCUUAAAACCUAGAAACCCUAGCAGAACCUCUAUAAAUGGAUAGUCACCGCCCACCUACCUGCCAUCAUACACUCAAAGGAAGAGUCGCUAUGAGGACUCUGUAAAAGAUCAAGCUCAACAGACCGGAUUGCCAGGGGCUCAUGCCUUUGCAUGUCGAUCUCCUUCUUCCCUGAGCCAUCUCUUCUUACAUCUUUCAUUUUUUAUAUCUAUUUUUGUAAACAAUUUUUGGGGAGGUUGAUUUUGCUAUGAGGAUUCUUAAGCUCCCUCUUCUGAGUUAAAGCUGAGGAAACUUGCUGGCAGAAUCGAACCAAUAAUAACUAGCCACUACUGAGUAAUUUCAAUCCUCCCUCAGAUCUACUUUUUUUUAAAAAAAAAUCUGUUUGUACAUUUGCCGUUUAAUUCUCUUUGUUUUUGUGCUAAUUUAUUGUCACGGUGACGACUCCAUAAAAUUCAAGCUCAACAGACCGGAUUGCAGGCUUCUCUAUUCUUAGAGUAAGUUUGCGUGUCGAGUACCCCGCUGAACUGAGUGACUUUUCUUUUUAAUUUAUUUAUUUGUGAAAUUGAGAUCGUGAUGAGGAUAUCUAAGCUCCCUCUUCUGAUAUCGGUGAGGAAAGUUGCUGGCAGAAUCGAACCAAUAAAUUAAUUUGCCAUUACUGAAUGAUCUUUAGUUUUUGUUGUUGUUUUUAUGGUGAUGAUGAUGAAGCAAUUAUUAUUAUUCCAACACUUGGACUGAUUUUAUACCGUGAUUACAUUAUUGCAUCUGAAUCUUUAAGGCUAAUAUUCAAUUUUAUUCAAGUACACAUGCUUUGUGCAAAUUUUAAUUGUCACCAGAAAUCACAUGAUGAUAUACAUAUCAAUCUUAGGACACCUUUGGACACAACCAGUUAUGGUUGUGAAUGAAAAUAAUUUUUGUUCUGAUGAUGAUGGUGACUUUUAU